rnacentral:rRNA from 1 species
GACGAACGCUGGCGGCGUGCUUAACACAUGCAAGUCGAACGAUGACGACCGGGCUUGCUCGGUCUGAUUAGCGGCGAACGGGUGAGUAACACGUGAGCAACCUGCCCUUCACUCUGGGAUAACCUCGGGAAAUCGCGGCUAAUACCGGAUAUGAGCUCCUUUCGCAUGGCGGGUUUUUGAAAGUUUUUCGGUUAGGGAUGGGCUCGCGGCCUAUCAGUUUGUUGGUGAGGUAAUGGCUCACCAAGGCGAUGACGGGUAGCCGGCCUGAGAGGGCGACCGGCCACACUGGGACUGAGACACGGCCCAGACUCCUACGGGAGGCAGCAGUGGGGAAUAUUGCACAAUGGGCGAAAGCCUGAUGCAGCGACGCCGCGUGAGGGAUGACGGCCUUCGGGUUGUAAACCUCUUUCAGCAGGGAAGAAGCGAAAGUGACGGUACCUGCAGAAGAAGCGCCGGCUAACUACGUG